rnacentral:tRNA from 1 species
AUGUUUGAAACAAAUAAUUGUAAUCAGUUUCGACCUGAUAUUUAAGUUAAAUAAUAUUAACUCAAACUUA